rnacentral:rRNA from 1 species
UGGGGAAUUUUGGACAAUGGGCGAAAGCCUGAUCCAGCAAUGCCGCGUGUGUGAAGAAGGCCUUCGGGUUGUAAAGCACUUUUGUCCGGAAAGAAAUGGCUCUGGUUAAUACCUGGGGUCGAUGACGGUACCGGAAGAAUAAGGACCGGCUAACUACGUGCCAGCAGCCGCGGUAAUACGUAGGGUCCAAGCGUUAAUCGGAAUUACUGGGCGUAAAGCGUGCGCAGGCGGUUGUGCAAGACCGAUGUGAAAUCCCCGAGCUUAACUUGGGAAUUGCAUUGGUGACUGCACGGCUAGAGUGUGUCAGAGGGGGGUAGAAUUCCACGUGUGGCAGUGAAAUGCGUAGAGAUGUGGAGGAAUACCGAUGGCGAAGGCAGCCCCCUGGGAUAACACUGACGCUCAUGCACGAAAGCGUGGGGAGCAAACAGG